rnacentral:pre_miRNA from 12 species
ACCCCUCCUGGAUGUUAAAUUGACUCUAGUAGGGAGUCCGUUCCAGCGCGACUCCCUAAUCGAGUCAGGUUGACUUCCCUGAGGUACCUCAACAGA